rnacentral:rRNA from 1 species
GACGAACGCUGGCGGCGUGCUUAACACAUGCAAGUCGAACGCUGAAGCCCAGCUUUUGUUGGGUGGAUGAGUGGCGAACGGGUAAGUAACACGUGAGUAACCUGCCCCCUCCUUUGGGAUAACGUCCGGAAACGGGUGCUAAUACUGGAUAUUCACUGGUCGUCACAUGGGGGCUGGUGGAAAGGGAUUUUCUGGUGGGGGAUGGGUUCGCGGCCUGUCAGCUUGUUGGUGGGGUGAUGGCCUACCAAGGGUUUGACGGGUAGCCGGCCUCGGAGCGUGACCGGUCAGAGUGGAAGUGAGAUACGGCUGGGACUGCUACGGGGGGCAGAAGUGGGGAGUAUUGCGCAAUGGGGGCAAGUCUGAUGUAGCGGCGCCGCGUGUGUGGUGGAGGCGUGCGAGUUGUGAACCUCUUUCGCUUAUAGUCAUGCCGCAGCAAGGGUGGUGGUGAGGGUAGUAGGUAAAGAAGCGCCGGCUAACUACGUG